rnacentral:tRNA from 1 species
GCCCGAGGUCGACGGCGGGGCGGACGUCCGGGAGGCUGCGGCCCUCGCCGGCGCGACCGUCGUGCCGCUGGAGGCAGAGGUCCCGCUCGGCGCGGACGCCA